rnacentral:tRNA from 1 species
AGUCCUAUAGUGUAGCCUGGAAACACUCCAGACUUUGAAUCUGGCACCGGGAGUUCAAAUAUCUCCCUAGGACUGCCA